rnacentral:misc_RNA from 1 species
GUGAGCAACGCUCCUGUGUUUUACAUUCGCGUAGUCAACACAACGGUGACUGCGGUCGUCGAGGGUUUCUCGGGGGGUAUGUAACGUCGGGUAAAGUGUAAUGUACGGGGGUUAGGGUAAGGAAUAAGUGAGAAGUAAAAUAGACUUUAUAUAUAGACGUUGAGUUGGGAGUUGAUUGAUAAAAAGAACGAAUGGUGCAACAGCGAAGGGUUUAUGUGGUGAAUUUGAUUAAUUUUUUUCUUGUUGAGAAUGGGUUAAGAUGUUGCGAGUUGGACGCUCGAUCGUUUGGGAGAGGGGUGUAUGGUGCGAGCAGGGCUGAGAAUAAGUUUAUUGAGGAAUUGAAGGGGUAGUAUUCAGUCGUGAAUGUGGGAAAGCAUCUUGGUUCUCGAAUCGCGAGUAUUCAUAAGUGAUUUGCCAUAAAAAGAACGGGAAAACACAUGAAUCACAAGAAUACAAGAACCAAGGAAAACGAAGUGGGGAAAAAUGAAAAAAGUGCGAGAGAGAUAGAACAAUUUGGGCUGCUAUAGUUUCGCGUGUGCGUGUUUGCCUGUGUAUAUAUUUUUGCCUAUGUGCCUCGUGCUGGACCAAGAUGGCGGCUCUCGAACAUAUGACAAUGACGACUACGGAUCGCGAGCCUACUAGACAUAAUGACGUGAAAUCAUCAAUAAAAUUUAAACUAUUAUCGAUCGGUGCAACUUUAUCUAGAUUAAUGAGACUUUCCGAAAUAAUGAAUCUAAAGAAUAUUACAAGCGCCUCCGAGCAUAGACCGGAAACGGGUGAUUGUUGUCGCCAACUCGAGUGGUCGUCUGUCAUUUCGCGUUUGACGUAUGCUUGUUUAUCAAUGAUAAUAACAUUUGAUAAGUCAACGAACUGUCGAGUACAGUGGUUUCUAUUGAUAAACAGUGGUUCGGAAUUUAAUUUAAUGAACUAAAGCGCGACUCGUUAAGACACGCGCGCGGCAAGGCCCGUUUGCGGGAUAUAAAUUCCCGCGGUAACGCUACCCGAAGCCAUGAUAAUAUACCGCGGCCGAUUAUGGCCACGAAGCAUCCAAAAAGUACGCGCUGGCGUUGCACCGGCUGCUGCGCCUUCGUGAACUCAACGACCAAUAUUGGCGAGUCUAAGUUCUGCAAAGAUUGCAACAACGGCUCCCCUCAGCAACAAGAUACGGAUACGACCGAUUUACCUCUGUCACCCAAUUCCCCGGAAGGCUCGCGUACCACGGAGCGUUCUGGUAUUUCCCGACCUUCCGAAUCUUCGCCCUUGUGCUCGGAAAGCACGUCACCCUCCUCGUCCUUGACCUCCUCUUCCUCCACCUCCGUACCUACCAAUCUACCUAUCAGCCAUAGCCUCACUGAAAAUGCUGUCCAGGAUGGAGCACUGUUCGAUGGCAGCCAGGAAAAUACUGGCGGAGCUGUCUUUUCGGAGGAACAACAGCAUACCUCGUUUAUUACUCUUGGUUUCGAGAUAAGCGAAUCAGCACCAGGAGCGGAGGAUCCGAAACGCGUAUUGUAUCGUCGUGGUUCUUGGUCGGGGCCUAGUUCAUCGGCGAAUAUAUCAGCGGUACCAAGGAGAUCGCCGUCUCUGCCGUUAUUGGUAACACGAUGGACGUGUAUACGUUGUUUGCAGACGAAUAGCUGCAGCGCCGCGCCUCUGUGCGCUGCAUGCGGGGCAAGUUCGUCGAUAGCGAAAACAAAUGGAAAGUUGAUUGGUGUCCGUCGUGGAAAGCGUUUGAAGGCAUUGAAAUUGGGUAGUACGCGACAGGAUUCAAGAUCAGAAAUAACGAGUACGCUGGGAGGAACGUCAGGACUGUCGUCGGGUCGUCGAAUGUUCGAAGCGGGUAUAACGAGCAUGGCGCAAUUGAGUGGCUUAAGCCGGAGUGGAGAUCGUGGCCAAACGAAUAGAGAAGAAUGGAGCUUACCGCCUGUAGAGACGAUGGAUUCCCCGGGGCUUUCAUAUGCGGGAAUACCCGAGAGUGCUCAAUGUUCACCAAAGAGACACGGUUCCUCGGUAUACGAGCGUGUCAAGUCGAAAGUCAGUAGAUCACUGUCGAAUGGAUCGGUCGUGCAGAAGCUCGGUGACCAUGCUAUCCAACGACCGACCAGUUUAAUAGUUUCAGAAGCGAAGCAUCACGACGAUGGACUUUGGAGUUGCGACAAUUGUACGUUGGAUAAUUCUUCGGGCUUGGAGCAAUGCGAGGCUUGCGACGCGCCGAGAACUUCGGCACCGUGCAGCGGCGUUGUUAUAAGCGUACCAUCUUGGGAACCGAGGCCUCUGUCCUCGGCAGGACCGUUGUCCUAUCGAAGAUCGUAUUCCGAAGUCGAUGCCGUUGCGAGAGCAACGCGAAAAAAAGUGGUCAAUCGUCGAAGUUUGAACGACGACGAUCCACCGGCGGUACCACCCCACUCAAUGGCCUUCAAUUCUCGACCGAAAUAUUCUUACAUCGGUAUAACCGAUCCCGACGUUCCACCGCCACUACCGAAGAAACAGGGCGCUAGUGGCGUCACCGGUAACGGAAACAAACUCGGCCUCACUGCGGUCAGAGCUCAUAGCGAAUCCACGAGUCCGAUCGAGCUAAGCGGAAACGCCAGCUCAUCGAGUCCUCUCAAACGCAUGUGGACUUGUCGCCAGUGCUCGUACGCUUACAAUCCCCUGUGGUCAUCGGCCUGCGACAUUUGUGGCUCAACGAGAUCACCCGCUUCGCUGCUACAACCCAGUGUCAUAACUGUCACCAAAGACGCUACCAACUUUCGCGGCCCGGUCGAAUCACCGAUCGUCGUUUCCCGCGACAGCGUUCGUUACAUACCUCCCAAAGCUGCGACCCUAGCAACUGCCGAAUCCGAUCUCGAAGAUCAUAUUGAACAACAGUUACCACCCUCUUGGACCUGCAAAAAAUGCACUCUCCUUAAUGCCUCGACAAGAGCAACCUGCGAAGCUUGCGGAGGCUCCAAACUUCGUAGCGUAACUCACGUCGAAGAUCCGACUUUGCGUAAAGGCGAAAGUUGGGUAUGCCCCUCCUGUACACUCCGAAAUCCCCUUACCGCCCAAAACUGCAACGCUUGUAAAACACUCGCCGAUUUUCUCGAAGUACCCCGACUUGAGACUCGCGUUUCAGGACAAAAAAGUCCUUCCCCCCGAGCCACUUGCGGCUCUCAUCACGCCAAUCCAAAAAUCAACGUCACGCCCAGGCAUCGCAAUUCCGUCAGACGAAACGGCAGCUCCGGGAUUGCUGAUAAAUUGUCAUCGAGGAUUAAGGAUAACACGAAUCCUGGUAAUACUCCAGCCGUUGGUCACACACAGUGGCAAUGUAAACUUUGUACUUACGAGAACAAAAGUACCAAUGGAAUUUGCGACAUGUGCCAAAGCUCAAAGAUACUCUCGAUGCUGGCUGUUGACCGACCGAGAAUAAGCGAACCCGGGACUAGCACGCUUCGCAUACAACGUCAAGAGAGCGUCGUUAUGGAAAAUUUACGUCAUAUAGAGGAGCGCGAGGCACUCGACAAGUGGGAAAGAAUCGUUCGCUAUUGCAAAGAAACGAACGAGCCCUUCGUCGAUGAUUCCUUUCCACCCGCUCCGAAAUCUCUCUACUACAAUCCAGCUGAUACUAAAGACAAUCACGUUGUCCAGUGGAGAAGGCCUCAUCAAAUCAACGUCGAUUCUAGUGUCGAUUCCAAGUUACCCUGGGCUGUUUUCAGAACACCAUUGCCAUCAGACAUUUCUCAAGGUGUUUUGGGCAAUUGUUGGCUACUAUCGGCACUCGCUGUACUUGCCGAGAGCGAUGAACUCGUUAGAAGGGUUUUGGUCAUGAGAGAAACCUGUCCCGAAGGAGCUUAUCAAGUUAGGCUUUGCAAAGAUGGCAAAUGGACAACUGUACUCGUCGAUGAUCUUCUUCCUUGUGACAAACGAGGACACCUCGUUUAUUCGCAGGCGAAAAGAAAACAACUGUGGGUGCCUCUGAUAGAAAAAGCAGUUGCCAAGAUCCACGGUUGUUACGAAGCUCUGGUGUCAGGUCGAGCGAUCGAGGGAUUAGCUACCCUGACCGGUGCUCCUUGUGAGAGCGUACCGCUGCAACCAUCGGCACUGCCCAGUGAGGACGAACUCGACAAAGAUCUUAUUUGGGCCCAAUUACUGUCAUCGAGACAAGCCAUGUUUCUUAUGGGUGCUAGUUGUGGCGGCGGUAACAUGAAAGUCGACGAGGAAGAGUAUCAACGAAAAGGCUUACGACCAAGGCACGCUUAUUCCGUUCUUGAUGUCCGGGACGUCCAGGGCAUAAGGCUGCUGCGAUUGCGAAAUCCGUGGGGUCACUACAGUUGGAAGGGCGACUGGUCAGACGACAGCCCCAUAUGGACGCCUCAGUUGCGAGAAAUGCUGAUGCCACACGGUGCUUCGGACGGUGUUUUCUGGAUAUCAUUCGAUGACGUGCUAAAAUACUUCGAUUGUAUUGAUAUUUGCAAAACCCGCGUUGGCUGGAGCGAAGUAAGACUGCGGGGUACGUUGCCGCCUUUGUCGUCGCUGAGGCAUUUGUCUUGCGUUCUUCUGACGGUACUCGAACCCACGGAAACGGAAUUUACGCUCUUCCAAGAGGGCCAAAGGAAUUCAGAAAAAUCGCAACGAUCUCAACUGGAUCUGUGCGUCGUUGUAUUUCGGACACGCUCGGCGGCAGCCCCGGAAGUUGGUCGGUUGGUCGAGCACAGUAAACGUCAAGUUCGAGGUUUCGUUGGUUGUCACAAGAUGCUUGAACGUGAUCUAUACGUGGUUGUUUGUCUCGCCUUCAAUCAUUGGCACACGGGUAUGGAAGAUACGUCCAGUUAUCCCGAGUACGUUCUCGCAAUCCACAGCUCUAAGAGACUUCUCGUGGAACAAAUUUCACCGCCGGCAUUCGUACUCGCAGAUGCUAUUAUUAGUUUGACCCUGGCGAAGGGACAACGGCAUGAGGGACGAGAAGGAAUGACUGCUUACUAUUUAACCAAAGGUUGGGCAGGAUUGGUCGUUAUGGUAGAAAAUCGUCAUGAUAACAAGUGGAUUCAUGUAAAAUGUGAUUGUUACGAGAGUUACAACGUUGUGUCGACACGGGGGCAACUCAGAACAGCUGACAGUGUUCCACCUUUGCACAGACAAGUGAUCCUCGUGUUAACGCAAUUGGAGGGUAGCGGUGGUUUUUCCAUAGCUCAUCGUCUAACCCAUCGCUUGGCCAACAGUGGCAAUCUCCACGAUUGGGGUCCUCCGGAUACGCAGCAUUUUCCACAGAUCGACACUCAGGUCGAGGGUCUUCAUAGUCCUCGUUUAAUCACCUGAAUAUCAAAAGUGUCUGAAAAUCGGUACGAUUCUUGAAAAUUCCGAAGAAACAUUUUGUUUCGGUGCUACAUGCGACAAAUCCACGAGAGAUAUCGUAACGGGGAUCCUUGAACGAAACCUCCGAUAGUCAACAUUCCCCAAGUACGUCUUAGCAUUUCAAUUCGUUACGACUGCAAGCAAUGCAACUCCGAAGAACGAUAAAUAAAACAAACGAAAAAUAGUGUUACGAAAAACGGAUUUUAAGAAAAUCAUCGAAUAUAUAAUUCGACGUUCCGAGUGGUGUCUAAUGUAGAGUGAACGACGACGUUCACGAAAUACUUUGCUUGCGAUAUACGAACAAAGACACAAUUAUUUUCUCAACUUAACGAUUAAGUGUCUGCCGCGUGAAUGCGGCGAGCGACGAACGCCUGAACGAAGGUGCGGUUGAAAUUCUUGUUUUUAAGAUGUAGGAUUAAUGAAUCUCUCGAAUAGCAAAUACGUUAUUCUUAUUAUAAUCAUUAUAAUUUAAUCUUGAUAUUAUUGAUUUAUUUUUAUAAUAAUGCGAGUUCACCUAUGGUGGCUCCAUAGUUGUAUUUAGGAACGCGUUUUUCAUUUAGUUACAAUCAAAUUUGUUAAAAAUUCUUUUCACUAUCGCAUAGGCUCGAAUAUUUUUUUCUCUCUCCGACGUAUCCACUGAGAUUGAGACCACACUCCGGCUAUAUUAGUGUAUUGCUAAGACACCAAAGAUGUUCGGAAGAAGUUAAGCCUUUUUUGUUCAAGAGUCGCGAGAUUCCGUUGUAGUCGAGCGACACCAGUCUGAAUUUAUCGAUGAGAGUGAAUCUUUGUAGAAUUUUUUUGUAACUCCUGGUUGAAUCGUUUUUAAUGCGUUUUUGCUCGGCCUGUCUCGAAAAAGCGGUACUCGAGACGAACAAUGAAUAAUUGAUUUUUGAACUGAACAUUUUCUCGAUGUGCGGUCAUGUUAAAUAUGUAUAGACAUCUUCAAUCAGGAUAUAAUUAGUUUCUUUUUUAUUGUUAUAUACUCGAAGCACAAAUUGAGAUAUAAGUUAUUCCACGAUCAAUGCUCGUUGGUUUUUUGUAUGAUUCGUGUACAAAAACACUGCUGUUAUCGCAGAAUUAUUAUUUCUUUCUCAAUAUUUCUUGCACGAAUCUCAGUUUCAUAAUGUGAAAAUACGAUGAAAAAAACAACUUUAUCGAAGAUCAUUCGUUGCAAAUCGUGAUGGGGAAAGACCAUUUUUUUUCUAUGUACAUUCGAACGAGUUACUCGGGGGAUUUUUCGGUAUAGGGAGUGGAGGGUGAAUCGUCUGUGUUCUAUUGUUGAUAAUAUCAACAUUGAUUAGAAAAAUCAUAGUUUUUUUUUGCAUUUCUAUUAUUAUUUUUUAACUUCAAUAAAUAAUAAUUACGAGAGCCGUAAAUGACGCAAUUGCCAGGCAUUGUUUUUUGCUCCCGGUGGCACAACCAGUUCGGUAUUGUCGAUAAUUGGGAGAAUAAAAGUCCCCAUGACGUAUACUUUAGGAUGUAUAAUAUAUAAAGUUUCACUGGUGAGAAUGAGAGCGCGAUGGUGCCAGUGUACAUUGUGACGUUACCAUAAAUACUUCGUGAACUACACAAAAAUAGAGGAGAAAAUUAAAACGAAUAAUUAUAAAUAAAGAAUUGAAAGAAAUAAUUUCACCAUAUUUCAAAUAAUGCGAAACUCGAAAAUGAACAUUCGUGAUAUUUAAUGUUUGGAAAACGUCAAACUGCCGUAUCCCAUUAGUCCUUUGACAAUGGUUGACAAAAACAGAAUUUUCAUAAAGGAUGUAGCGCAGAGCCAUUAUUUCGACAAUUCAUGCAUUUCAAUUGAGAGUGAGAGAAAAAAAAAGCGAAGAAGAGAAAAAAGGAACAAGUAGAAAUUGAAAAUUGUCUGCACCGUACUACACUGGAACGUAGUGAUGUGACAAUAUCUAACGCUGUGAUCAGUCGAUCACUUUUUUUGGACGCGAAAAAGCCGCGAUCUGAAGGUGCCUGUAGAUGUGUGAUUGUAAACAAACGAAAGCUUACAAACUUGUUUCAAAGAUUAAAAAAAUAAAAAAAUAAAAAAAACAACGGUAAACGACUAAUAAAAUAGUGUUGAACGAUUGCACUGACAGUAAUUGAGAGUUUUCGAGUGAUCCGCUACUUUCUGAAUAGCGUAAAUAUCUUUCGCACCGAAAAUUUUGGUUUUUAGGUUGUUCAUUCGUUCAUCAGUAGUCGAAUCAUGUUAUUCUGCUAAACUUUUGCUUUCUCACGCUCAUUCGUAAUUCUCAGUUGUUUUAUAUUCCUCUCGCAUUGAUAUUUCCAAAGUUUGGCUCGUUGUUAUCGAAAGUGAAGAUUUGGCAAAGCGCUUCAACCACCGAGCUCGGUGGCUCUCAUCUCCAGAGCCAAUUCUUCCUUGCGUUCAGGCAGUUACGAGUUUACAUUAGUCUCAUUAAUUUGCAAGCGAUUACGGGGCUUGUGCGAACUAAAUAGGAACAUACGUAAACACGGAAAUACCGAAGAAUAUAAAACAGUCAAGGACACAACAUAACGCAAACGCGCGCCCUCGCUUUUUGACGAUUCCGAAGGAUUAUUGAGCUGACCACUUGUGCCAUACAUAAUUGAACAUUUAGAUCCAAAAAGAUAAAGAAAAUGAGAGAAAAAAGAGUGAGCUAAUGAGGAGGAGGAGGAGGAGGAGGAGGAGGGACAGAGACAGAGAAAAGAAACCAAGAAAAACAUAGUGAUCGAUAAUAAUUUUAUAGCGAAUCAUUCCAUUGGCACGUCACGAUGUACCGCGAGACCCUUUUUUCUCUGACGACACAAAAACAACAAAAAAUUCUAUUUUACAUAACGCGUAGUUGGCGAAGAAGUUGUAAUGUUGUAUGAAAAUGAAAAAAAAAAAAAAAAAAAAAAAAAACGAAACGAAACAAAAGAAAAAAAAGAACAAAGCAAAUAUUCAUAUGAAAACUAAACCAUGAAAAAUUGAUAAAAUUAUAACAAAUAACGUAAUUAUAAAGACAAAAAGAACUGCGAUUAGUUUUUACUUCAGAAUUUUUCGUUCCCGAAGUUUCUCAGAGCGAAUCGAAUUUCGCAUAAUGUUGAAUUUCGUAAUAAGUAUCGAUUCAGCUUCGUGAUAACGAGCUUCGGUAUGUCCGGUUAAAAGCCAUAACCAAAUAAAUAUGAAACGAUAUUGAAUUUUGAACUUUCACGUGUCUCGGGAUAUUUUAUCAUCGGAACGGUUUUCUUUAUCUUUUCACUUAGUGAAAAGGAAAAGAGUCGAAAUAGAAGGAAGAUGAAAAUUCGAGUUGUAUAUAUGUGAAAAGAGGAAAAUUGAGCGAGCGAGAGAGAGAGAGAAAGAGAGAGAGAGAGUGAAUACAAAAAACAACGUUGGCAUAUUUAUUCUUUCGAGGCAGCUAGGAAAAUGGAAAGAAGAAAAAGGAAAGAAGUUUGAAACGAUGGAAAAAUAUGAUAAGAUAAAGAAGAGAGAAAUGGUAAAAAAAAUGAAUUUGCACAUCGCUGGCGUUCUACGUUCACAGUUUAAUUUGCAUGCGCUUCUCGUCGUCGUUGUCAUAGCGUUAACCUAUAUGAUAACGCCGUAAUAACAUUUUUAUUAUCGUCAUUAUGGUUAUUAUUGAAAAGUUAGUAAUAUAUUGAAAAUUGCAAGUAAAAAAGAAGAAAAAAAAAAACAACUGGAAGUGAACACGAAGAAAAAAGUGGCACGUCGACGGGACGAGUAUGUCGACGUCGAUUCAGAGUGUGAUAUGUAAAAAAAAAAAAAACGAUGCAGAUUUAGACGCACGCGAUCGCGAAAUUUUUCGGUAGUAGAAAAUUUCCAAAUCGAAAAAUAUAUAUCAUUUUUAAUAUAAUUUUGAAAAUAAUAUUUAAGCGCUUGUUUGUAAAUGCAAAAAUCGCCUAGAUUUUCUGACAACCGUAAAUUCGAAGUUGUUCAUUUUUAUGGAUACAUUAACCUCGAUAUUUGUGAAAGAAUUGAAGCGCGAUCAGCAGAAAGAGCGAAGAAUUUGAUAGAUAAUUGUUAUUUUCGUUUUGAAAAUUUUCGAAUGUCUCGAAGUACUUGGUACUUCCGUUAAAUUAGUCAUUUUCGAGUAAGUCACGAAAUUAGUAAAGUAAUGCCCGUUUGGAGUUUGGUGUGUCGUGUGUGUGCGCGCGCGUGUGCGUUCGUCGAGGAUACAAAGAAAUCUGAUAUAAAUGUGAUAUCCAACUUUUUCAAUUGCCAAUCGAGAUCAGAUAAUAUGCAAUACGUCUUAGUACAUAUAUUUACUCUCGUACAUGGCCAUCGAUCAUUUUCAUUUCUUUUUUUUUGUCUGUCCUUUUUUCAGUUUUUGGGUUAUGUUAUCGACGCGAGUACUCGUUACGUCUGCACGUCGCCAGCCCAAAGUACCUAGACAUACUAUAUUCUUAAUAUGUGAAAAAAACAAAAAUAUUAAAAUAAAUAACAAUAAUUGAAGAAAUACGUGUCUCACUGUAUUUGUAUGAUAAUGCAUAGGUUAUGGGUCCGCGAAGAUGUUGUCGAAAACACGUCGCCCUCCUCAAGGGAGAAGAAACCGAGUGAGAACAAGAGAAAAACAAAAACAGAGCGAGAGAGAGAGAACGAUGAAAAAUACCCCGUGUACUGCGUGUAUGGCGCUCCAUUUUUGUAAGAAUAUGUUAAUUUUCGAGAAAAAACGAGAGAGACAGGGAGAAAAAGUGAGGGAGAAGGAUGAUGAAAAAAAUGACAUGAUACGGAAUGACAUGCAGAGGGAUGAGAGUUCGCGUAAACCCUUCAAAAAAGUAGGGAUUAGCACCAUUCGAAGAAAAAAAAUUAAAAACAAAAAAAAUAGAUCUUCAAUCUUCUUUAACACAUAAUAAUUGUCAAUAAUUCAUAAAUUAUAAAUGUUUAAUGAUAACAUCGAUUAUACUAGCAUUUUAUAACAAAUACAUUGAUAAUUAUUAUUUUGCUGAUUACAAUGUAUGUUUUUUUCAAUUGAAAAAUCAUUGGAAUACUUUAUGUUGGUGCAAAUCUCUUCCUACUCCCAAAGUUCUGCCUACGUCUGCCUGCCUACAUAAGGACGGAUCUUACCAAGAUUAACAUCCCAGAAUGUGAGCAAUCAAUAAUGUGAUAGACCCGUGAACAAACUGUGUGAACGCUAACUCAAAUUGAUCCAAUGAAUUUGGGAAUAAAAGUGAAAAAAAUUGCGUAUAUGACAACACUGUUCGAUUCGGAUGGACUUGAACUGAACGAGGUGCGGAGAAAGACGGUGGUGUAAUCGUGAAAUGUUUGUCUUUACUUUCGCCAGCCAUUAUAUUGAAUGUAUAUAUAUAAAUAAAUAUCAAGAAUAUUGACAUGCAUACACAUGUACUGUAUGUAUACGAGAUAGAACUUCAUAUUUAUAUUAUAUAUUCAAUAUAUAAAACAAAGAAGCAACAAUUUUGAAUAUUUACUACCGUAUGUUUAAAAAACAAAACAAAACAAAAUGAUAUCGAAAUUGUGUUGUCCCCCGAUUUGUAUCGUGUAGGCACGUUUAAUAAUAAAUCGAAAUAUUAUCUA